ensembl:lncRNA
GGAAUAUUAAUGGAGCAAAAGCCAAAGACUGAAGGAGAGAAUACCAGUAGAAGAAAAGCCUUUUGGUGAAAACUUGGAAACUUGGAGAGGAAUCCUUACUCUGUUACACUGAGUGCUUCACUAUUUUCCAUUAUCUCUAGAAAAUGAAAUCACAUGGAGCAGAUAGGCUCAUCAGCCCUUGAUUCUUUGAUUUGAGAGAAAAGGAGCAUGACUUCCAGUCCCUGCUGAACAUUUAAUUGAGAUGAAAAGAAGGCUACACAUCUCAACGCUGCAGAAAAUAGCAAAAUAGCUCUGAAAAUUCCGGAGAGUGGAUUCAGCAGUAGCUCACACAUGGAAACCAUCAGCUCAAAAUGUGGUACCCUUUAUGAAUAACUGCUAAAUUCACAAGUGGCAUAUCAAGACACAUAGUGUUGUCCAUUUUUAACUUUUGAGGGGUGCAGGUACAGUUUUCUCUGUGUGAAGGGCACAGGCACUUAAUAAGUGUCAGAGAAACAAGGCAUUCAGGAGCAGUUGUAGGGAUCACUCAGUACAUCAGCUGCUAUUUUGGAAGAAAGAGUGACCAAAACGAAUGUCACGUGUCUGACUCUUCUCUUCCCCCCUCAUAUUUGUUUUG